GACAGCGCCAACGGAGCCGAGCGGAGCUGGUGAGGGGAGAACCCUAGCGGUGGAAUCCGGUACUACGUCACACGCCGCUGGAUUGCGAAUACCGUUAUGGCGGAGGUUUCUGAUUGAAAGCUGCAAACCUGAAACUCUUCACCUCACCGACGACUUCCUGACAACAAGGAGGACUCUCUCCUGGAGAGGAACGUUCACCGGCUGAUGGAGAGAAGCCGCCCUGGACUACCUGCUCAGCAGCAAACCGCCGGCUGGAAGGAACCAGAUCGACUCGUUCUGCUCGGAUUAGUUGAUUAAUAUGAAAACAUGAGUCUGUAUCAUCUAAAAUAUUUAUUCUCUCACAAAAUAAAAAAAAAUCAUCCUUUUACCUUUUCACAAAUAAUCCAAAUACAUCUGACUACAAUGUAAUAUUUUCAUCAACCACUGAAAAGGAUUCAGGUCACACUGAUGGAAAGAAUUGAAAGAAGUGCAAGCGUCUUAAACGUCACUGCUUGCUUUUGUUGCCAAAAUCUGAUGUUCAUUUAGUUGCAUAAUUUAUUAUUGAAUGACUUACAAACCAGCAGCACAAGUAUGAAAUAUUCUUAUGAUUUAAAAACGUGAUUUCAAAUAAAGGUUGUGCUGAGCGACUAGAGACAAAGGUUAAGAGAUUCACUGAUAUUUUAUUUUCUUCGGAUGUUUCAUGUGACGAUCAAGUAAGUAAGCAAAUUGUGGGACAUAGUGUUAAAGAAUCUGCUGGAAAGAAUUUGUUUUUUCAUCGUGAUCAGUGGAAAUCGUAUGGUAAGAUGAACUAACUCAGAUAACAAGAGUGAGAAAAUACAUUAAAUGCAAGUAUUUAAACCCUUAACUUACAAAGCUGUGGUUGAACACGGAAAAAUCAUUCAGGUGAGAACAAGGACGGGUUUGAAUAAUAAAGUAAAGGUUUUUUGAGACAGAGAAACCAAACGACUGCACUCUGAGAGACUCCAACUGUUUGGCUUUGAAUAAAAACUCUUCUCUUCUCGCUAAUUAUCUUCUGCUGUAACCAAAACUCUGUUGUUUAUGGUGUUUCAGGAGGAAAACAAGCUCAGUUAUAUUUACUCCAUCAGCUUUGUUUUAAACCCUGGAAUAAAGAGAAGAUACUUUGUU